AGUGAACGCUGGCGGUAGGCCUAACACAUGCAAGUCGAACGGCAGCACAGUAAGAGCUUGCUCUUACGGGUGGCGAGUGUCGGACGGGUGAGGAAUACAUCGGAAUCUACUUUUUCGUGGGGGGUAACGUAGGGAAACUUACGCUAAUACCGCAUACGACCUACGGGUGAAAGCAGGGGAUCUUCGGACCUUGCGCGAUUGAAUGAGCCGAUGUCGGAUUAGCUAGUUGGCGGGGUAGAGGCCCACCAAGGCGACGAUCCGUGGGUGGUCUGAGAGGAUGAUCAGCCACACUGGAACUGAGACACGGUCCAGACUCCUACGGGAGGCAGCAGUGGGGAAUAUUGGACAGUGGGCGCAAGCCUGAUCCAGCCAUACCGCGUGGGUGAAGAAGGCCUUCGGGUUGUAAAGCCCUUUUGUUGGGAAAGAAAAGCAGCAGGUUAAUACCCCGCUGUUCUGACGGUACCCAAAGAAUAAGCACCGGCUAACUUCGU
rnacentral:rRNA from 1 species